rnacentral:rRNA from 1 species
UGGGGAAUCAUGGUCAAUGGGCGAAAGCCUGAACCUGCGACGCCGCGUGAGUGAUGAAGGUCGUAAGAUCGUAAAACUCUUUUCAGGGAUCUUAAAGCACAGCUGUCAACAACAGCUGUGUGUGACUCUCCCUGGAAGAAGCCCCAGCCAACUACGUGCCAGCAGCUGCGGUAAUACGUAGGGGGCGAGCGUUAUUCGGAAUUACUGGGUGUAAAGGGUAUGUAGGCGGCACUUCAAGUCGCGUGUCAAAGUCCAGUGCUCAACGCUGGGUGUAAGGGGU